CAGUCGCCGCGGUAAUACGUAGGGUGCGAGCGUUAAUCGGAAUUACUGGGCGUAAAGCGUGCGCAGGCGGUUCGUUAAGACAGAUGUGAAAUCCCCGGGCUUAACCUGGGAACUGCAUUUGUGACUGACGGGCUAGAGUAUGGCAGAGGGGGGUAGAAUUCCACGUGUAGCAGUGAAAUGCGUAGAGAUGUGGAGGAAUACCGAUGGCGAAGGCAGCCCCCUGGGCCAAUACUGACGCUCAUGCACGAAAGCGUGGGGAGCAAACAGGAUUAGAUACCCCCGUAGUCCCUGUCUCUUAUCA
rnacentral:rRNA from 1 species